rnacentral:lncRNA from 1 species
AGGGCUGCACCCUCAGCAUAUGGAGGUUCCCAGUUCCCAGGCUGGAGGUCAAAUCGGAGCUGCAGCUACUGAUCUAUGCCACAGCUACAGCAACAUGGGAUCCUAGCUACAUCUUCGACCUACACUAUAGCUCAUGCCAACACCAGAUCCUUAACCCAUUGAAUGAGGCCAGGGAUCAAACCCACGUCCUCAUGGAUGCUAGUUGGGUUCAUUAACCGCUGAGCCACCACGGGAACUCCUCUACCACAUCUCUUGAUACCACUGGGCCUGGAGGUGGCACAGUUUUCAUUUCUCCUUAUCUAUUCUCUGCUCCCUCCAUUAGAGGCAUGUCAUCAGCCAUGCCAUCAACUACCUAGGUACUUACUGCAGUCAUCUACCAUGCUUCAAUCACUUCCUUCCCGAUUCUUUGGGAACUUAGUUCCCUUCUCAUUCUCACUCUACAAUACUACUCCAGUUACACUUGUUGGUGAUUUCAAUACUUACAAGAUGAUAUUAUAGUAUCUUGGCUUCCAGUUCACUGGCUGAACUUGAAAGGCCUUUGGUCAUUCUUUUCCUUCACUUCUGCCUUAGCCACAACUAUGGUCAUAAACUUGAGCUUGUCAUUACCAAUAACUCAGACUCUUCUCUCAUCUCAAACACCCCAUCACCCAACCACGAACCCUUCUCUCCAGCUCUCCAGCCCUCCGAGGCCUUUGAGCCCUCGCAGGGAACUUCUGUCCAUUUAUCACCACCUUUUCACAUCCCUCUCCCCUUGUAAUUACUUUUCUCCUUAAGCAGCUUAAAUUACACUCCUGAUCUGAAUCUUAACUCCUUUGUUCCUCCAUCUCUUCAUACUCACAUGGCUUAACCACAAUUGUUAAAUCAACUGUGUGCUAAUUCCAUGCCUGCACCCAAGCAAGAAAGAAAAAGUGGAGAUGGUGCAACAGUUCUUUAAAAGACUUUUGCUGUAAACAAAGAAAAUGGGAGCAGCUGAAGGGGGAAACUGGGUCAAGAAGAAAAUUCUUUUUUUAAGGUGGGAAAGAUAUCGGCCUCUUUAUACACUGAGGGGAAUGAAGCAAUAGAGAAAAUAAUGUUGUAGAAGAAAGAGGGGAGAUUUCCCAGGUCCAGUAUCUUUUAGGUUAGUGAAGACAGAGCAAGGGCACAACUGAAGGGUCAGCUUUAGCCAGAAGUACAGACAGACUGUUCCUAGUUAAAGAGAAAAGGUAAGAAUACGUGGACACAAGAAGAGUUAGAUAAACAGGUGUGAGGGUGGGAGUCUAAAGUAGUUCUUAAAUUUUCUUUUCGAAUUUUCUCUUGAAGUUUUUUUUUUUUGCUUUUUAGGGCCACACCUGGGACAUACGGAGGUUCCCAGGCUAGGGGUCUAAUCAGAGCUGUACCUGCCGGCCUACAUCACAGCCACAGCAACGAGGAAUCCAAGCUGCAUCUUCGACCUAAACCACAGCUCACGGCAACGCCAGAUUCUUAACCCACUGAGCAAGGCCACGGAUCGAACCUCCAACCUCAUGGUUCCUAGUCGGAUUCGUUAACCACUGAGCCACGACAGGAACUCCUCCCAUUUUCUCUUGAAGCAUUCUCAUCAGGCCUUUAACUCUACCACUCCACUGAAAUUCUUGCCAAGGCCACCAAUGACUUCCAUGUUGCUAGUUCUCAUACUUCCUACCAGUAGCAUUUGAUAAAAUUUAUUGCUUUCUCCUCCUGAAUCACCUCACUUCCAGAAAAUCACUGCCUUCUCAGUUUAUUAGUUCUUCCUCCUUUCCCCAGACUAAAUGAUAGUUUCCCAGGACUCAGUCCUCUUGAGUUCUUUUAUGUUUAUACUCACUCCCUUGGUAGUUCUAUACAGUCUUGUGGUUUUAUAGCAACUACAUCCUAUUAACAGCCAAAUUUAUAUCCCCAGCUUGUACGAAUGUCCUGAAUUCCAGACUCACGUCCAUCUACAUACGUAACAUCUAAACUUGGUUGUCUAAUAUAUAACUCCAGUUGAUACAGGCAGCUAUAGUUAAUUCAAGCUGAGCAGGCAUUUGUAGUUAUCCACUAUUAAAUCAAUGCUUCAAUAAACAUCUUGUACAUGUCUUGUAUUCAUGGUUUUUCUAGGGUAGUAGGCUUUCAUACUUGUCAUUACAGCCUGCCAGCACAGUUUGGUCAAACCUCCAUCUGCUUACUCUUGCCUAGAUUAUUGCAAUUACUUCCUAUUUCUAUUGCCUGAGUGAUCAUAUUAAACAAUCAAGUCAUGUCACAGCUCUUUCAGACUUAAAGGCAUAUAUUCCUACAUUUAACUAUUAUAAAACUAUAGGUACCUGUCGGUUCGAAAUAUCAUGUGUUGGGAAACUGAACAUGAACCAAUGUGAUUUCUGGGUUCUAUAGAUAUCACUGCCCUAUUUCGCAAUCAUUUGUGAAGUAGUUCACAUUAUUUAAAAACACACUAUGGGAGUUCCCAUUGUGGCUCAGCAGUAACCAACCUGACUAGGAUCCAUGAGGAUGGGUGUUCGAUCCCCUGCCUUGCUCAGUGGGUUAAGGAUGUGGCACUGCCGACAGCUAAAGCUCUGAUUCAACCCCUUGCCUGGGAACUUCCAUAUGUCGUGGGUACUGCCCUAAAAGACAAAAAAAAUAAUAAAAUAAAAUAAAAUAAAAAAUACACCAUAGCAAAACCGUAUUACAAUGCGAGGACUAGAAUAACCACACUUUAAGUUAUUCUACAUGACGAAUAAUUCUUGCUCCUGAAAGUAUACAUGAGUCCACAACUUAUUGCUUUUAAAAGACAUUGUAAACAAAAUGAAAAGACAAGUCAAAGACUAGAAGACUGGAGUCUAAAAUACAUAAAGGACAGCGGAAGUUCCCACUGUGGUGCUGUGGGAUCGGUGGCAUCUUGGGAGCGCUGGGAUGAAAGUUCAAUCCCUGGCCUGGCACAGUGGGUUAAAAAUCCGGUGUUGCCACAGCUGUGGCUUAGGUUACAACUGCAGCUCUGAUCCGAUCCCUGGCCAGAGAACUUCAUAUGCUGCCAGAAAGAGAACACACACACACAAACACACACACACCACACACACACAGUAAGAAAAAAAUAAAAUUGGGCAAAAAUAUGAAAAGUCAAACGUACAAAAAACUGGAAGGCUUUCAAACUCGCUAAUAAUAGGAACACGGAAGCUAUGAUCAUGAAGAACUUUCCUAUUCAUUAGGAUGGCAGAAAUUUAGAAGUCUGGAAAUACCAAAAACUGUUGAGAAUAUACAGAAACAAUAAAUCUUAUUCCCUAAUGGUGGAAAUGUAAAUAGCUACAAUCAUUUUGGAGAACAGUUUAGCAAAAUCUAGCAAAGUUUAACAUUUACAUAGUAUUUUUAAUACAGUUUUUGUUUCUGAGAUUAACAAAAACAAAUAUUUGUGGGUCCUGAUGGGAGACAUACUUCUUAUUGUAGGUGUAAUGAAAAGUAUGAAAGCUACUGCAACACCGAAAUGCAUACACAUGCAUGACACAUGCACAAGAAUAUCUGCUGCAGCAUUGCCUUAAUAAUAACUGCAACCUUAAGCGCCCAUCAAGAGAAUGGAUGAACUGUGCGUAGAGCUGCCUGUAUCAACUUGGAUAAAACUUUCCAAAGUGCUAAGUAAGAAAAGCAGCAGAAGGAUUCAAUUAACAAAAGCUAAAAAACAUGCAACCCAAUACUGUACAGUGUUUAUAGGAUAUAUACAUAUGUAGCAAAAACACAAACACAAAUAUAAAUACCAAAUUUGGGACAGUGAUUACCUCUGAAAAGGAGGAAGGAGACUGGGAUCUAGGGAAUACAAAGAGUUUCAAUUGUAUUGGUACAAUUUCACUUCUUAGCUGCACGUGUGUCUAUGGGUAGGUGUUAUAUUGUCUUUUUUUAAACUGACUAUAGCUGAGUUACAAUAUAUUAUUUCCAGAGAACAGCAUAGUGAUUCGGUAUUUUUGCAGAUUAUACUCCAUUAUAAGUUUUUACAAGAUAAUGGCUAUAAUUCCCUGUGCUACAGGACAUAUCUUGUUGCCUACUGGAUACACAGUAGUUCAUAUCUGUUCAUCUCAAAGCCCUAAUCUGUCCCUCCCCACUUCCCUCUCCUCUCUGGUAACCAGAAGUUUGUUUUCUCUGUGAGCCUGUUUCUGUUUUGCGUAUACAUUUAUUUGCAUUAUUUUUAGAUUCCACAUAUAAGUGAUAUCAUACAGUAUUUGUCGUCCUCUGACUUAUUUCACUAAGCAUAAUAUUCUCUAGCUUACUUUUUAAUAUGCCAAAACUACUUCAGAACACAAAUUAUUCAUCAAAUUAGAUAAUGACAACCAACUUUACCUGCAGAGUUUUACAUUUAAGCAAUGAAUGUUAAUUAUAAAUUUUUUAAUUCUUUGAAAUUCUAAACUACACUAUACAGCCCAGGUCACUAUAUCUUAGGUAAAAAAAUACAACCGAUCAUGCAGGAGGGGGAUGUACUAGUUUUCUAGUACCACCAUAACGAAGUACCAUAAACUAGGGACAGAAUGAUAGAAAUUUAUAAAAAAACAAAACAAAACAAAAGGAGUUCUCACUAUGGUGCAACGGGAUCGGCGGCAUUACUAGAGCACUGGGUGGCUGUCGAUCCCUGGUCUGGCACAGUGGGUGAAGGAUCUGGUGUUGCUGUGGCUGAUCUACAGCUCCGAUCUGAUCCCUGGCCCAGGAACUCCACAUGCUGGGGGGGGGGGGGGCACUAAAUCGAUUCUCUCCUAGUUCUGGAGGUCAGAUGUCCAACAUCAAAGUGUCAGCUGGGCCAUGACUCCUCUAAAGGCACUAGAGAAGGAUCUGUUCGGACCUCUCUCCCAGCUCUGGCAGCCUCAGGAACUCCUCUGCCUGUACAUGCUGCGCCGAAAUUCUCCAUGUUCACCGGGCUUUCCCUCUGCCCUUGUCUGUCCCUGUGUCCAAAUUCUCCCUUCUGAUAAGGACACCAGGGACACUGAAUUAGGGCCCAUCCUAAUGAUUUCAUUUUAACCUGAUUUCCUCUGUUAAGAUUCUAUUUCCAGGAAUUCCCGUCGUGGCGCAGCGGUUAACAAAUCCGACUAGGAACCAUGAGGUUUCGGGUUCGAUCCCUGCCCCUAGAAAUUUGGGAACUUCCUGUACAUUUUAACACUGAAAACUCUGCAGUGAAGCAAAGACUUGCUCCCUUUCAGCUGCUGGUAGAUGAUAAGGCUAUAUGAUAGAUGGUAAGCAUAGGCUUAAGAAUCACAGCUCUAUAUGACUUUAGGCAUUCCUUUACCUCUCUAACUGUUUCCUCAUUUCUAAAGUGGGAUCGUAGGUUUCUCACCUUCUAAGGUGGCCUGCACUCUAUGGAGUGUCUCUACCAGG